GACGAACGCUGGCGGCGUGCCUAAUACAUGCAAGUUGAGCGCUGAAGGUUGGUACUUGUCCCAACUGGAUGAGCAGCGAACGGGUGAGUAACGCGUGGGGAAUCUGCCUUUGAGCGGGGGACAACAUUUGGAAACGAAUGCUAAUACCGCAUAAAAACUUUAAACACAAGUUUUAAGUUUGAAAGAUGCAAUUGCAUCACUCAAAGAUGAUCCCGCGUUGUAUUAGCUAGUUGGUGAGGUAAAGGCUCACCAAGGCGAUGAUACAUAGCCGACCUGAGAGGGGGGUUGGCCACAUUGGGAACGGGAAACCGCCCAAGCUCCCUAGGGAGGCAGCAAGAGGGGAUCUUCGGCAAUGGACGAAAGUCUUACCGGGGAACGCCGCGGGAGUGAAGAAGGUUUUCGGAUCGUAAAACUCUGUUGGUAGAGAAGAACGUUGGUGGGAGUGGAAAGCGCAUCAAGUGACGGUAACUACCCAGAAAGGGACGGCUAACUACGUG
rnacentral:rRNA from 1 species